AAACGUUUACAGAGCAUCCGCGAGAACUUCCUUCUAAGCUAAAUAUGUCAUCUAGCACCUGAAAAAAUUUAAGUCUGGUUCUUUCUGGAUAAAAGAAAGCGCACAGGAUUUAACCAGAUCUGCUGUUAGAGGAGAAUUCUUCUGUCCUAGCUGUGUCUCUGUGAUCUGUGGAUGAGGGUGGGAAAGCACCACUCAGUCAAUUGGGGUGUACAAAAUGGAGUUUGAGAAGGUCUCACAUCCAGGUUGUUUUGAAGCAAAGUCCAAGCAUUGUAUCACUUCAUCUGCAAAUAUUUCAAUAAGUACCCAAAAGUGGUUGGACUGAGUCCCAUGAAGCCAGAUCACUUCUGACUGCAAGGAGCUUGGAAAAGCAAGUAUCUGGAUCUUUUACCAGCUAAAUUUGGAGGUAGGUAUCUACCAGACUAGGGAAGAAGAGAAGAAUGGCUGUUGAGUGCAGAUCAAUUUGUUUCCACUGAAGUCUAUGGUUGAAAUAUUUAUGCAUAGCUGAGAUAUAGAAUUGUGCUGUAAAAUGUGGUUGAUUUGGUGGUAACUAUGUGGAUAGGUGUGGUAGGUUGAAGUGUCCCCUGCAAAUUUAUGUCUACCUGGGAUCUCAGAAUGUGACUUUAAUUGGAAAUAGAGUCUUGCUGAUGCAAUUAGUUAAGAAUUUUGAGAUGAGUCGUACUGGGCUUUCGGUGGGUGCUAAAUCCAAUGGCUGGCAUCCUUAUAAGAAGAGAGGACACACACACACACAGAACAGGCCAUUCAAAGAUGGAGGCAGAGCUUGGGGUUAUGCUGACAGGAGCCAAGGAAUGCUGGGGGGACAUUAGAAGCUGAAAGAAGCAGGGAAGGAUUUUCCUCUAUAGGUUCAGAGGAUGCAUGGCCCUGCUGACACCUUGAU
rnacentral:lncRNA from 1 species